rnacentral:lncRNA from 1 species
CAUGGGUAGGCAAACUAAGGCCCAGGGACCGGAUCUGGCCCAAUCGCCAUCUAAAUCUGUCCCACAGAUGGUUCAGGAAUCAGUGUGUUUUUACAUGAGUAGAAUGUGUCCUUUUAUUUAAAAUGCAUCUCUGGGUUAUUUGUGGGGCAUAGGAAUUUGUUCAAUCCCCCCCUUCAAAGUAUAGUCCGGCCCCCCACAAGGUCUGAGGGACAGUGGACCGGCCCCCUGCUGAAAAAGUUUGCUGACCCCUGAGCUAGUUGGUCAAAGCUGUUUCUCGGGGUGUGGCUGGCCUCUAUCAUACGCUGACAGCUUUUAGGAGCCACAGGUGAGAGAGCUGAGUGCAGGGUGGGGACCAAAGGUGGAUAAACUACCCCAGAAGGAGCACAAUGUGUCCCCCACCAGAGGUACUACCCUUCCCCCAACACCCCAUACACCCUAAAUAUGUACACUCUCAUGAAUAAUAGACAGUCUUUUCAAAAACAGGCAAUAACCAUUUAAAUCUUACAUCUGUAUACAGUACACACAAUAAAGAAAAUAAUGAGGCCAUCAUCAGUGUCCCCAGCAUCAUAUUAUAAAAGAAGGAUUUUUUAAUAGGACUGUUGCCUGACAAAGAAAUAUUGAUCAAUCAUGGGUUUAAUUUGAUUUAUCUAUAAAUUAAUGUAUGACAUGUGUAUUAAACCAUUUUUAAAAGCAUACUGCCUAUGUGGCAUUCAUAGAUUCCCCAUCAGUGGUUUAGUAGAUCACAAACUGUGAAGGCCCACUUUCAGUAAAGUGUUAAGGCUUACAGUGCAAAUCCUAUGCAUGUUUGCUCAGAAACAAGUCCAGUGUAGCUCAAUGGAAUACAUUUUGUAUUAAGAGGAUGGUAUGGAGGAUUGUGCUGCUAUUUGAAUUAAACCGGAAAAUGCUUAAAAGUUGGAGCAGCACGCCUACAAUCAUACUUUUAAACAAAUGUGUGAUUCGGCCAGAAAGGAAAAGAGGGGGUGGGGAGGAAAGAAAAAAGGAAAUAUUUUGGGAUAUUUCAUUUCGUUGCAACAAAAAUAGAUGUUUGUUGAGAUCAGUUACCAAGCAAUAUUAUCCUCCUGUUGGAGGAAGUUAGGACAAGGCAGAGAUGUACUGGUCUCCACUCCACACUUUCCAUCCAGUCCAGUAUGAUCAACAGGACUUGGGAUGCCAUGGUCAAACUACUGUUCUGCUCCACCUCACUGUUCCCUUGCCAUGAUUAGGAUUCCUCUUGUUAAUCAUCAGUUUAUUUGGGUGGGUGUAUGGUGUCCACAGAAAUAAUUACAGAUGGAGUCAGACAUGUGUCUUGUAGCUACAAGUUGUUGACUAUUUGCAGUCUUUAUGGCAAUUGAACCCUAUGCACUAUUACAUGGUGUUGAAGAGAAGCAACGAGAAACAACACCUGAGAUGGAUGUAGUUUCAGCAAACUGGAAGCAGGUGGGUUUUCAUCAAUUGCAACCUCCGUGAGGAAAUAUGUGAAUUGAGGUAGGAAAUGUAACUAUACCAUUGGUAGAGCUCUUCAGUGGAUCAAUUUCCAACUCUGAUUGGCAUGGUUUUUAUUUUCUGCAUCCACUUCAUCUAUCAGUUUCUUGCACUUCUCUAUUAUUGUGCUAAAUAUCCACUCACUAGCUUCCCAGUGUUGUUCCAUCGUUCCCAGCAACUCUUGUUGCUCUGAAACAGCACAUAUACAUCAUGAGAUCAAAACAAGCAGUUUUCAUCUCGGCUGCCCAGAAGGGCUCUUCUCCAGAAAAAUGCAGAGAGGACAAGUAUUACAGUAUUAAUCAGAGCAGUCUCAGAGAUCACUUGAAACCUCUUGAAUAGUUGGACGUGUGUGUUUCUAUGUACAUUAAAGUAAAUAAACACAUGUAAGAUUCUAGCAAGCCUACUCUUAACCCUCUUGCUGAUAACCCUUGUUUUUAAUCACUAUCUAGAAUUGUUUGCCAACAUCCCAUAUUCGUUUUUAACUUACAGAAGUCUAUCUUUAGAGCAUUGGUUUGCUUUUUAAAUAUAAUAAUCUGAACAACAGAUGCUCUUGAACAUUGUCACCCAAGAUGUUUUCCUGCCUGAAGUGAUGACCAGCCUCUCCCAGUGCCAGUGCCAACACUUUUAAAAGUGUUGCUGUCCCAUUCAGGCAACAUUCCUGCCCUCAUUUCUGCCCUCAUUUAUCAUUACUGCUGCCCUGGGGCCCCCUAUAUUAGGGUGCUCAAGUGUGAAAGAGGCUAGCUUGCCCUGCAAGCUGCACAUGGUAUGAAAUGUCCUCUUCUCCACAGCUGUUAAAGAUGCAGAAGACCUGUGCAAAUCUCCUGUCCCUUUUAAAUGGCUCUGCAUCAUGAGAUCUGUUUUGUGAGUUUGUGUGUUGUAGGACAUAAUUAAUACCCCCAAACACCAAAACCUAUUAGUGGCAGUGCCUUCCCAGAAAACAGGUUUAAGAGGCAAUGAAAUAUCCUUGGAGUGGUUUUCUGAAUGCUUUUCUGAAAUCAUAGAUUUCUUCUGGUCAGUAGAUCUCUUUAAAAGGCUAUUCAUUUCUUCUUAUCUGAUAUGCUUUUUCUAUUCUUUUUUGAAAGGUACUCAUUGACAGUCCCUGGGAAGUAAAAUCACAGCUACAGAACAGUGAUUUAUGAUAAUUUUGACAGUUUUCUAUUUAUCUUUCCUUUUUCUCUUUCGUUGGGUGCUAUUUCACUCUUAAUGACUAGCGUUAACCAUUUUUGAAGCACUUUGUGAAUAAUGGAGUUAAUGGCCUCGAAGAAGACACAUUUUAUUACUAAUAAAUGUGGAUUGCAUAUAAAGCCUACACAUCAGCAGAAGUAUUGUGUCCAGAUCAAGGGAAGAAAUAGUACCACUAUCUUCUGCCUUAGUCAGACCACACUUUGAAUACUGUGUCCAAUUCUGGGCACCACAAUUUAAGAAGGGUGUUGACAAGCUGGAACGUGUGCAGAGGAGGAUAGGACUCAAACCAAUGGCUGCAAGUUGCAAGAAAGGAGAUUCCGACUAAACCUUCGGAAAAACUUUCUGGCUAUAAGGGCUGUUGAGCACUUGAACGGACUCCCACAAGAGGUGGGACUCUCUGUUAUGCACUAACCUUGGAUCCUAGAACAAUAGGCAAGUAGGAUCCUAGAAUGCAACAACUGUCUUGCAGGACUCCGAGUAUAUUUCACUCUCCUUUCUUGGAGGUUUCUAAACAGAACUUUAUGAUUCUAUGAAAAGGAUUUGAAGUAUGUUGGCAUUUUUAUAUGUUAUUCUUUCCUUGUUUGUAAUUUCUACAUGAAACCUCUAAGUGGGGUUUGGAGUUUGGAGUACGUUGUCAGCAAUAUACUGAUGACACACAGCUCUACUUCUCCUUUACAUCUGCAGGUGAGGCAGUGGAUGUGCUGAACCCUUGUUCUGCCUCGGUAAUGGACGGUUAGUGGGUGGUUCUCUAGACCAGAUUCUCUAGACCAGAGGGGAGGUUUCUUGUUCUUGAUGGGGUUACACUCCCUCUGAAGGAGUGGGUACAUAGCUUGUGUGAACUUCACAGUUAAGCAAUUCAGGCUUUCUUCUGAGUAGGCAUGUAUAGGAUUGUUCUGUACAGGUUAGCAAAAGUUCAUCAGGACAUGCUGUCCCUGCAGUUGCUCCUUUGCUGUGGAAACAGAAACACAGAGAUUACUUAAAUCCCAUUACUAGACAUCUUAGCUGUCCCAUUCAUUUCCCGACUGUUCUAUUCCUCUUUAUUAAAACCUAAAAUUAGUCUCACAAGAACAAGUUCAUGCCCUUACAAACCACAAAACUGUGUACCCUCUUCCAAAGAUAUUUGCAAACCUGAAGUGAUCAGAGACGCCAAUUAAAAUAAUAUUAAUAAAAUGCAGAAGUAAUUAUGGCAGGAAAGCUGCUCCAAGAGAUACAGACAUCGUUGCUGACUCUAUGUGGGUGCAGAUGUAGCUACUAUAUUUAAACUCCUGUUAUGCUUUAGAAGUUUUGUUUUAAAUAAUGCAUGUUUUUUUCUAAAGGAGGAUUAAUUUAUGUAAAGCUUAAAAGAAAUCUUCAGCUUUUAUUUUUAAAGUAAUUUAAGUCCUUGUAAGCCUUGGGGCUGCUGUACGAACUGCGUGAGCCACCAACUAUAAACCCUGCUUUUAUGAAGCUGUGUGGGCCUCAUUUCCCAUUUCUGUAUGUAUUGGGGGGAGGGAGGAGGAUGCUUGCUUCUUGCACCAUAUCCUCAUGUUUCAUGGGCUACUUUUUUAGGGGUCUCAGAGGCUACCAGAUCACAGAGACUACUAGGCACCCUUGCCUCUCAGUAGAACACAGUACAUUAUGUUUGGGAUCCUGGAGUUGCAGAGACCAGCUGUUAGAGGCCUGGUUUUGGGACUCAUGCCCCCAGAGCCAUAUAGGUCUAUUAUGCUGCUAUUUCUGCUGGCAGUCCGAGGGUGGAAGGAACAAGUUGUGAAUCUUCUUAUAAGUAAAUUAAAAUGUGUAUUUGUGAAUCUAGAUACAUGAGAUGUCAAGCAGCAUGGACCCAUUGAUUCUACAGAAAGGAGAAAAAACAACAAAUGCUUUUUGAGCAAAGGGUAGUGCUACAGAAAGCAACCUUUGAUCUCCCUCAUGGUCCCAAUUGUGUCAUUUGGGAUGCUCAAGGUACAGAAAUCCUAGCCACUGAUUUUCUUUAGCCAGAAUGCUCAAAGGCAUAGUUUUCAUUUGAUCUGCUCGCUCCUGUGCAAGACAGGCAGGGAUGCUUUUUAAAGCCACAACCCCCUAUAAUCUUUUAAACGGAUAAAGGCCAUUUUCUAGGACUGCCUUUAUAAAUUUGAAAUCCACUAAAGAAAUAGAUAAUUCAGUUUUUCACUGGGGAAUUUGGAGCAAAUGCAACUCGUUACCUGGCAUCAUUCAAAGCAAAUUUGUUUGUGAUGUGCUUUCCCCUUAUACAUGGGUCAUGAAAUUCUACUUUCUGUUUAUGCUAUAGCAGUAGAUGCCAAGUAAAUUGGAGCAAUACUACUGAAAGCUUUUAUUGUCAUCAUUUGCUUUCCUUCCUCUUAAAUUUCAAAAGAUAGUAGGAGCAUUAUAGUAUUUUUUUUUCUUCAUUAAUUCAGUGGAAGAUGAGAAGGCUGCAGUUGUAAGCUUGAAAGCAAGCAUUAGAAACAUAAGGGAAGAUUAAAGGGGACCAGGAUAAAUGCAGGACAAACUAAUAGAGAGAACCAGUGCUCCCCCCCCCCAAUAAUGUUUAGGGGUACUCUCAUUUUAACUCAUGAAAAUCACCAUUUUAUAGUUCAAAUUGGG